rnacentral:rRNA from 1 species
UCGGGAAUUUUGGGCAAUGGGGGAAACCCUGACCCAGCAACGCCGCGUGAAGGAUGAAGUAUUUCGGUAUGUAAACUUCGAAAGAAUAGGAAGAAUAAAUGACGGUACUAUUUAUAAGGUCCGGCUAACUACGUGCCAGCAGCCGCGGUAAUACGUAGGGACCAAGCGUUGUUCGGAUUUACUGGGCGUAAAGGGCGCGUAGGCGGCAUGACAAGUCACUUGUGAAAUCUCUGGGCUUAACCCAGAACGGCCAAGUGAUACUGUCGCACUAGAGUGCAGAAGGGGCAAUCGGAAUUCUUGGUGUAGCGGUGAAAUGCGUAGAUAUCAAGAGGAACACCUGAGGUGAAGACGGGUUGCUGGGCUGACACUGACGCUGAGGCGCGAAAGCCAGGGGAGCAAACGGGAUUAGAUACCCUAGUAGUCCCUGAGCGGGCUGGCAAGGCGCAU